GGCGAGAUGGCCGAGUGGUUAAGGCGCUGGUUUUAGGUUUGAUUCUUCAAAGCACACCAGUUCGAAAGAGCGUGGGUUCAAAUCCCACUCUCGUCA